UAAAACCAGCACCUCAAGUGGUCAGGAGGUUUAUUGGGCCUAAAGCAUCCGUAGCCUGCUUUGUAAGUUUUCGGUUAAAUCCAUAUGCUCAACAUAUGGGCUGUCGGGAAUACUGCAUAGCUAGGGAGUGGGAGAGGUAGACGGUACUCCAUAGGAAGGGGUAAAAUCCUUUGAUCUAUGGAAGACCACCAGUGGCGAAGGCGGUCUACCAGAACACGUUCGACGGUGAGGGAUGAAAGCUGGGGGAGCAAACCGGAUUAGAUACCCGGGUAGUCCCAGCUGUAAACUAUGCAAACUCGGUGAUGCAUUGGCUUGAGGCCAGUGCAGUGCCGCAGGGAAGCCGUUAAGUUUGCCGCCUGGGAAGUACGUACGCAAGUAUG
rnacentral:rRNA from 2 species